rnacentral:lncRNA from 1 species
UGCAGAUUUAAUCUUAUAUUUAGAGCCACUUAUAAAAUUAAAUUAAUUCUUAGAAUGAGUGGUUUAUUGAAUAUAUAAUUAGAUGUAUAUACAAAAUUAAAAGAAAUAAAAAUGAAGGGAGAGAGAGACCUGGAGGGAAGAGUUGCGAGCAUAACUUUGAAAGCCAUCUCCUCCAUUAACGUGAAGGAUGUACUCCAACUGCUUAGUUUGGUUGUUCUCCAUGCCUUCUAAUGCC